rnacentral:tRNA from 1 species
GGAGGAGUGGCCGAGUGGUUGAAGGCACCGGUCUUGAAAACCGGCAGGCGGGAAACCGUCUCGUGGGUUCGAAUCCCACCUCCUCCGCCA